UACGUAGGGUGCAAGCGUUGUCCGGAAUUAUUGGGCGUAAAGAGCUCGUAGGCGGCUUGUCACGUCGGUUGUGAAAGCCCGGGGCUUAACCCCGGGUCUGCAGUCGAUACGGGCAGGCUAGAGUGUGGUAGGGGAGAUUGGAAUUCCUGGUGUAGCGGUGGAAUGCGCAGAUAUCAGGAGGAACACCGAUGGCGAAGGCAGAUCUCUGGGCCGUAACUGACGCUGAGGAGCGAAAGCAUGGGGAGCGAACAGG
rnacentral:rRNA from 1 species